rnacentral:rRNA from 1 species
UACGUAGGGGGCUAGCGUUGUCCGGAAUCAUUGGGCGUAAAGCGCGUGUAGGCGGCCCGGUAAGUCCGCUGUGAAAGUCGGGGGCUCAACCCUCGGAUGCCGGUGGAUACUGUCGGGCUCGAGUACGGAAGAGGCGAGUGGAAUUCCUGGUGUAGCGGUGAAAUGCGCAGAUAUCAGGAGGAACACCGGUGGCGAAGGCGGGUCUCUGGGCCGAUACUGACGCUGAGGAGCGAAAGCGUGGGGAGCAAACGGG